rfam:TPA: Bos taurus chromosome 13, whole genome shotgun sequence.
UCCCUGGUGGUUCAGUGGCUAAGACUUUGUACUCCCAAUGCAGGGGGCCCAGGUUCCAUCCCUGUUCAGGGAA